rnacentral:ncRNA from 1 species
CGACCCCAGGUCAGGCGGGACUACCCGCUGAGUUUAAGCAUAUAAAUAAGCGGAGGAGAAGAAACUUACAAGGAUUCCCCUAGUAACGGCGAGCGAACCGGGAGCAGCCCAGCUUGAGAAUCGGGUGGCUGUGCCGUUCGAAUUGUAGUAUGGAGAGGCGUCCUCAGCGACGGACCGGGCCCAAGUCCCCUGGAAAGGGGCGCCUGGGAGGGUGAGAGCCCCGUCCGGCCCGGACCCUGUCGCCCCACGAGGCGCCGUCAACGAGUCGGGUUGUUUGGGAAUGCAGCCCAAAUCGGGCGGUAGACUCCGUCCAAGGCUAAAUACAGGCGAGAGACCGAAUGCGAACAAGUACCGCGAGGGAAAGAUGAAAAGGACUUUGAAAAGAGAGUCAAAGAGUGCUUGAAAUUGCCGGGAGGGAAGCGGAUGGGGGCCGGCGAUGCGCCCCGGCCGUAUGCGGAACGGCUCUUGCUGGUCCGCCGCUCGGCUCGGGGUGUGGACUGUUGUCGGCCGCGCCGGCGGCCAAAGCCCGGGGGCCCUAG